rnacentral:rRNA from 1 species
AACGAACGCUGGCGGCAUGCCUAACACAUGCAAGUCGAGCGCCCGUAGCAAUACGGGAGCGGCGCACGGGUGAGUAACGCGUGGGAACCUGCCCAGAGGUUCGGGACAACCGCGGGAAACUGCGGCUGAUACCGGAUGAUACCUGAGGGUCAAAGAUUUAUCGCCUUUGGAGGGGCCCGCGUCGGAUUAGGUAGUUGGUGGGGUAACGGCCUACCAAGCCUAUGAUCCGUAACUGGUCUGAGAGGAUGACCAGUCACACUGGGACUGAGACACGGCCCAGACUCCUACGGGAGGCAGCAGUGGGGAGUAUUGGACAAUGGGGGCAACCCUGAUCCAGCAAUGCCGCGUGGGUGAUGAAGGCCUUCGGGUUGUAAAGCCUUUCGGCGGGGACGAUGAUGACGGUACCCGCAGAAGAAGCCCCGGCGUAACUUCGUGCCAGCAGCCGCGGUAAU